UACGUAGGUGGCAAGCGUUGUCCGGAUUUACUGGGCGUAAAGGGAGCGUAGGCGGAUAUUUAAGUCAGCUGUGAAAUACCCGAGCUUAACUUGGGUGCUGCAUUUGAAACUGGAUAUCUGGAGUGCAGGAGAGGAAAGUGGAAUUCCUAGUGUAGCGGUGAAAUGCGUAGAGAUUAGGAAGAACACCAGUGGCGAAGGCGACUUUCUGGACUGUAACUGACGCUGAGGCUCGAAAGCGUGGGGAGCAAACAGG
rnacentral:rRNA from 1 species